rnacentral:lncRNA from 10 species
GUAGAUGUAUGUAGUUUAUUAUGUACAUAGUUAACUAUGUGUGUUGAAGUAAAAUUCCUAGUGUAAUUUAGCCUUUAAGUAAAUAUAAUAAAACAAAAUAAAGUCUGAAUUUAAGAAAUAUAAGUGAGGCCAGGCACGAUGGCUCACACCUGUAAUCCCAGCACUUUGGGAGGCCCAGGCGGGAGAUCACUUGAGGUCAGGAGUUUGAGACCAGCCUGGCCAAUGUGAUGAAACCCCAUCACUACUAAAGAUACAAAAAUUAGCCGGGUGUGGUGGCACAUGUCUGUAAUUCCAGCUACUCAGGGGGCUGAGGCAGGAGAAUCACUUGAACCAAGGAGGUGGGGGUUGCAGUGAGCCGAGAUCAUGCCACUGCACUCCAGCUGGGGUUACAGAGCCAGACUCUGUCUCAAAAAUAUAAAAAAAGAAAAGAAAAAAGAAAAAAAAAGAAAAAGAAAAGAAAAGAAAGAAAUAUAAGUAUUCUCCAACAUUCUAAUUCUGGGUCAUCAAUGCCCCUCCAUUAUCUGUUUAUUAAACCAGUUGCCCAGCAAUAUCUGACCCCUACAUAACUGCUAGGGAAAGGACAAAUGGAAUUUACAGAAACAGAGACCCAGUAGAGGCAUUUAUGGACUAACUUCUAUUUGCAUAAAAUUACCGGGUUUGUUCAUUUUUAGAUUAUUUUGAAAUGCUGAGAGGCCCUAUUCCAGAAGGGAUGGAUGCCUGGUUCUUCACAUACAUUAAGCAGCAAGGGAGUGACAAAAAGAAGGCAUAUUGUUUUAUCCUUUUUUUUCCGGGAAACAGGACCUCUUGAGUUGAGGGGACUCAGAACUCUCUAGGAAUUUCGUUCUAUUCUACUUCAUACUCAUCAUAAGCCAAACCU